UCAACUAUUGUAUAUAAUCUUACUGAUUCGGAAAAUCAAUAGAGAUCAUUUUCCAUCCUUUUCUUCAUGGUAUCAGAUAGGGUUGAUGCCUGAUUUUUAUUUUUUUUCAUCCUUGGCUUGCAUUGCCAAGAGAAGUUCUUUUUGUCUGGCCUUUAUUGCCAAAAAUUUCUAUUUCUAUUGUCAAUAAUCUCUUAAAAACACUUAUAUUUUUCCAUCCUUUUGUUAUAUCUGUACUUGUUUCAUCCCUUUUCCUGCAGUCCCUCACCUAACCACCUAAAAUGUCAGAAACAUCUGAAACCAUUACCUCCGUCAAUCCCAAAGCAAACUAAGAUUCAAUUUUUAAUGGAAGUCCUACAUGUUGGGAAUUGUCCCAAAUUCCUAAUUAGUAAAUAUUCCUUUUUUGUAAAGAAUAUUGUAUAGAAUAUUUCUAGGUUGAUAUAUUAUUGUAAUAUUAGACUUCCUUAUAGAAUAAGGAAGGUUGUUAGAAAUAUCUCUAUAAAUAUUCUAGGUCAUGAGGGGAAAAAGUUAUGAGAUGGAGAUGGGCCUAUAGAGACUAUACGAGGUGGAUAGAGAUGUGAGGAAGAACGUGAGGUACCUGGUGGAGCGAGAGGGAGCGAGAGGACUCGUAGUAAGGUAUGAAUACAAGGAGUGGGGAAACAUGGGAUGUUUCGGGAACCCAAUAGUUGUAUCUGGUUUUAUCCUCUGUAAUAUUCUCUAUUGUAUAGUGAAAUUAUUCUCUCUCAUCCGUGGACGUAGGCAUGGUUGGCCGAACCACGUUAAAACCUCAUGUACCAUAUGUGUGAUUGUUUUAUCUUUGUGUUAUUGAACUAACAUUGUUGGCAUCAAAGCUUUCGCUGGCACUACAAUUGGUAUCAGAGCUUGGGUUGAAGAUUUCUGGAAGAGUAAAAGAUCACAAAACACACAAGAUGAAAACAAAAGGAAUUUUCACUGAAGGUGGAGUCAAUUGCUCUUUCGUGGUGAUAUGAUACAAAAAGGUUUGUGUCAUGGAGAGAUUGAAGAUUAACUUCAUGUAAUUUGGUCCAAGGUGGAGAUUGUUGGGAAUUGUCCCAAAUUCCUAAUUAGUAAAUAUUCCUUUUUUGUAAAGAAUAUUGUAUAGAAUAUUUCUAGGUUGAUAUAUUAUUGUAAUAUUAGACUUCCUUAUAGAAUAAGGAAGGUUGUUGGAAAUAUCUCUAUAAAUAUUCUAGGUCAUGAGGGGAAAAAGUUAUGAGAUGGAGAUGGGCCUAUAGAGACUAUACGAGGUGGAUAGAGAUGUGAGGAAGAACGUGAGGUACCUGGUGGAGCGAGAGGGAGCGAGAGGACUCGUAGUAAGGUAUGAAUACAAGGAGUGGGGAAACAUGGGAUGUUUCGGGAACCCAAUAGUUGUAUCUGGUUUUAUCCUCUGUAAUAUUCUCUAUUGUAUAGUGAAAUUAUUCUCUCUCAUCCGUGGACGUAGGCAUGGUUGGCCGAACCACGUUAAAACCUCGUGUACCAUAUGUGUGAUUGUUUUAUCUUUGUGUUAUUGAACUAACAUUGUUGGCAUCAAAGCUUUCGCUGGCACUACACUACACUCCAAAUAAUUUCCUUGAAAUUGAAUGGCUCAAACUUCAUGGACUGGUCUCAAUCUGCCAAGGUAUUUCUGAAAAGCAAGGGGAAAUUGGGCACUACAUCAUCAUUGAGUAUAGAGGAUCCC
rnacentral:lncRNA from 1 species